rnacentral:rRNA from 1 species
UACGGAGGGUGCGAGCGUUAUCCGGAAUUACUGGGUUUAAAGGGUGCGUAGGCGGCUAUGUAAGUCAGGAGUGAAAGUUUGCGGCUCAACCGUAAAAUUGCUUUUGAUACUGCAUGGCUAGAAUUAGGAUGAGGUCAGCGGAAUGUGGCAUGUAGCGGUGAAAUGCAUAGAUAUGUGGAGGAACACCGAUGGCGAAGGCAGCCCCCUGGGUCAACACUGACGCUCAUGCACGAAAGCGUGGGGAGCAAACAGG